AUUGAACGCUGGCGGCAGGCCUAACACAUGCAAGUCGAACGCGAAAACCCCUUCGGGGGCAAGUAGAGUGGCGAACGGGUGAGUAACGCGUAGGAAUCUACCCAGGAGUGGGGGGACAAACCCGGAGAAAUCCGGGCUAAUACCGCAUAUGCCCUACGGGGUAAAGUGGGGGACCUUUAGGGGCCUCACGCUUUUGGAUGAGCCUGCGUCGGAUUAGCUUGUUGGUAAGGUAACGGCUUACCAAGGCGACGAUCCGUAGCUGGUCUGAGAGGAUGACCAGCCACACUGGGACUGAGACACGGCCCAGACUCCUACGGGAGGCAGCAGUGGGGAAUAUUGGACAAUGGGGGCAACCCUGAUCCAGCCAUGCCGCGUGUGUGAAGAAGGCCUUCGGGUUGUAAAGCACUUUCAGUAGGGAAGAAAAGCCUAAGGUUAAUACCCUUGGGUCUUGACGGUACCUACAGAAGAAGCACCGGCUAAUUCCGUG
rnacentral:rRNA from 1 species